AGGGGAUGCCAGAGAUUAAAAUGUAAAAGGAAGCCCAACUGGUCAGACAAAGGAUUCCCUUCCGAUUUAAUCAGAAACCCUGGAACACAAAAUGUCGCUCCUUCACAGACUUUAGCAGAGCCCAUUCAGGUGAACAGCCAAACAGAUCUCCGUAAUCCAAUCCCAAGAGAUUCCUCCCAAGGUGGACAGCCCAGGCUAGUAGACAAAGCCACAGCCCUGCAGGGAACCCAGACCAUCAGAGCAGGAAACACCAACAGCAGGGCGCCUGACCACAGAGCGCCUCCUCUCUGAAAUCUGGUAAAUUGCACUUCUCUCAAGUUCCUAGGGGGCGGGAAGACCUUUGCAUAGCAACAGCAAGCUCCCCUGUAUAAGGGGCUGGUGGGGAAAUACAUGCAUGGCCACCUUCCAACCAGCAUACUGGGUACAUGCUUUUGGACAACAAAACAAUUACCUCUGCUCAAGCAAUUUCCUGUGUUCUUCAGUUCCAGCUUGGGACAAACCUCUGGUAAGUUUUCCUUCCAACAGUAUUUAAUUCCAGAACAUGUGGAGUAAGAGGCCUUGAGAAUAGGUGAAGUAAUUGGAUUAUAGGUUAAAAGUUGCCAAGCUAUCAUUUUCUGAUUAUGAAUGACUACGCAGUGCCAUAUGGAGGCAUGAGGGCAGAUGACAGGAAGUGAUAAAAAAGAAAAACCUGAUAUAACAAGUGCAUGGUAAUGCAUUCCAGGGGAAAAUACUAUAAUGAUCCCUCAAAAAUACUCUGAGAAUUAGUCACAGCAACACCAUCUCACAAAUAUUUGCCCUCUACUCUAAAGAUCACUAGUUACAGAUAUGGGGAAUUUUCUACUAAAUGUUUUGAAGAUAACCCAUGAAACUCCUACAAAGCUCAACCUCAAGCAUACUUUUGCCCUGGAACUUUACCAACUGUUGCUCCCUCCACCCCCUUUGGAGGGAGCAGGGGCUGGGGGGAAUUUUCAUUUAGUUAUUUCUCCAUCGGGCUUGGGGGAAACUCCCUAUGGAGAAAUAAUAACUAAAUAAAAAUCUUGGGGUGAGAAGUCUUACGUGGGAGGCACUCGUGCUCUUUGGCUGCAUUUGCAGCAUGACGGUUAGUGAGACUGUUUGUUCAGGCUUGGGUGCUGCCCAACUCCAGGCAUUCUCUGGGCAGCUCCCAAUAUAAAAAAUGAAAUAAAAAUACAAUAAGGUAAGUAAGUACAAUAACAGAAAGAAACAACAUAGAAAUACCGAAACAUAUGCAACAUACGUUAAACGGUGCUAACACGGGGUUCCAUCCAUCCUGCCCCAAGGUCUGAGAAAAAGCCAGGUCUUUAAGGCCUUCCAGAACGCCAUUGGGGUAGAAGCCUCUCAAGGGGGCCUCGUCUCAGAGGGCAGAUGCUCUUUCUGAGUUCGUACAGCCUGCUAAGCCCAGGGGAAAAAAUAGCCAAGGCUAAAAACUAACCAAGUUUAGUAUGUUCUAAUGGGGCCACUUAGGUCUUUUGCCUGUAUAAACGUAGCCAUUAUGUGCUCCCAACACUAUGUACAAGUGUAAUUCAGAGCAUUUUGUAUUUUGUGUGUUUUGAAUAGAUGGGAGUUUCAUUCAGAGAAACUUCUUUAGUACUAGCCAGAAGGGCUGAAUGAGUAGCCAUCACAGCCUUUGGAUAAGUGCCCUCAGCAGCUGGCAAUUGUCAGCUACAAAUUACUUGCUAGCAAUUGCUUAUUAAACCCAGGAUGACAGGAUUUCCCCUUCACCUAAAUUCUCUCUGGGGCUCACAGAGAGACUUCAGAGGGAAAUGUGCAUGAUGCUAAAUUCCACCAGGCCUAUAGAAAUCUUAGUAGGGGAGAAGUCAAACCCUUAAUGCAAAUACACUUCAAAGGAGCUGACAACUCAUCACUCUGUCUUUGUCCCAGGUUUUAAAUCAAGAGUGUCCAGGGUGACACAUUACAGCUUGUGGGGAACUGCAGCAGAGGCCCAUGUCAUGAAGCAGGUGGAGCAGUGAUGCAAAGUGGAUGAGGACACACCAUACCCGUGGACAGUGCAGAGAAUUUCUAUUUUUGUCCCAUUCUGGGGAAACAUUCCCUAUUCCUACCACCACCUGACAGAACAGAAGCAGUAUUAGGAACCGACAGAUCCCAGCAGCCUUUUGAGUUUUGCAAGGAUUAGGAGGAAGCACAGUGAAUAUUUCUGAGAACUCAUAUGGGCCUGGAAGAAGAGUUCUUGAAUUUCCAGAUUAAUUCCAGAGACUUACUCAGAAUUGUUUUGCAUAGAAAAGAACCAUUUGGGAAGAGCGCUUUAAAUGUUUUGUUUGGGAUUCUGAACUCAUUCCCAGAACUACAGUUGCCAGCAUCCCUGGGCAGAGAGAGUGACAUUUAAUCCUAUUUCCACCUGUAAUGACUGUAGACUUGGAAGGCACCACAAGGAUUAUCUAGUCCAACUCUCUGCAGUGACCAGGAAAACCAAUGAAACCAUUUGUGAAAGAUGACUGUCCAGCCUCUUCUUAAAAACCUCAAAGAUGGAGAACCCACCAUUUCCAUAAGUGGACUAUCUCACUUUUACACUCAUGUUCUUGAAGGAUUCAAUAUGUAUAUUUGGAAGUUGUGCUCUGUGCAUUGUCAAUGGACUACUGUAACUAGCUCUACAUGGACCAGCCCUUGAAGAGCAUUCGGAAGGAUCAACUAGUGCAAAAUGAGGCAGUGUGUUCCCCUAGAACAGCACACAUUAUACCUCUGCUCCACAAGUUGCACAGGUUGCCAGUUUGCUUCUGGGUCCAAUUCAAGGUGCUGGUUUUGACCUUUAAAGCCCUAUGUGGCAUGCAGCCUGGUUAUUUUAGGGAUCACCUCUCCCCAGUUAGGUCUACCCAUCCCAUUAGGUCCAGCAGGAGAAGCAUGUUAUAGGUCCCAUUUGCUAAAGUGUUCUUUCAGACAGGAUUGAGGAAGGGAGCAUUUUCUGCCAUAGCACCCACUCUUGGAACAUCAUUCCCCCCAAGGUGAGAUUGGCCCCAACCCUAUUAGCCUUCCAGAAAUCUCUUAAAACAUGUUUUUUUUCAGCAGGUUUGGGGAUCCCAUGGAAAUAGGGAGCCCACCAGAUGGUUGUAUUGUAUGUGAGAUUUUUGUGCAUUCUCCCAUGUUCUUAUUUAUAUUUUACGUUAAUUGUUUUAAUGGUUAUUUAAAAUUUGUUUUAAUUGUUUGUUUUAUUGUACACCGCCCAGAGUCACGUCAGUGAGAUGGGCAGCUAUAUAAAUUUGAUUGAUAAAUAAAUACAUGUGGAAGCACCUGAUAACAUUAUAAAAAAUGAAGUAUAAGAUUAAAGCCUCAGAAAAUCAGCUCUCAAAUGCAUUUCCUGGUCAGGCAUAUUUGACACUCAAUUUAUUUAUCUGUUUAUUUUUUACAUAAGGCAAAAAUCUUAUUCUUCUAGGACUUUUAAUAUAGUCUUAAUUUAACUGUUAUGCUAUCACUGAGCUUUUUAAAUACGUAUUUUUAUUUCU